GCUUUAUACAAGCCUAGUGAGACGAUAUUUGGACCACCACCGUACAAAACUAUGAUCAUUGUAUAUGGUGGUCCAAGUGUACAACUAGUCUGCGAUUCAUGGAUCAAUACGGUGGACAUGAGAGCUCAGUAUCUGCGCAGCAGAGGAAUCUUAGUAUGGAAGUUAGACAACAGAGGAACUGCUCGACGUGGACUGAAGUUUGAAGCUUCUCUGAAAUACAAUAUCGGCUAUAUCGAUGCAGAUGAUCAAUUGGUUGGAGCAAAAUGGCUCAUCAGACAAGGUCUAUCAAGAGCUGGAGAGAUUGGUUUAUAUGGAUGGAGCUAUGGUGGCUUUCUGUCAGCAAUGAGCUUGGCCCGGUAUCCAGAUAUCUACCGAUGUGCAAUAUCCGGUGCCCCUGUUACAUCUUGGGACGGGUACGACACCUUCUACACAGAAAAGUACAUGGGAUUACCAACUCGGGAUCCAGAAGUUUACGAGCGAAGCUCGGUGAUGCAUCAUAUAGAGAAGAUGACCGG
rnacentral:misc_RNA from 1 species